CCCGCCCCCUCCUCCGUCGCCGGCUCGGGCCUCGGAGGCCGCGGAGGGGCCCGUCCGCCAGUUGGGGGGAAACCGCCGGCGCCGGCUGGGGAUUGGGCCACGUCACGGGGCUCGGCGCCCGCCCCCGUACGCUCCCGGACCUUUCCGGCCUCGGCUCUGGGUGCCGGACUACCGGGGUCGGGAAUGACCCGAGGCCGGUGCGAGUGGGCGCACGGACAGUCCCGCAGUCGGCCCCCUUCUUCCGGUCACCUGGGGAGCCCCGGCCGAGGAGUGGGAGUGACCCGCAUCCCCUCUGUAGCCACGCGGAAGAGGCGCUCGCUUGCUGCCCCAUGGAAGUGUGCACAGCCCUUGGAAAGCGACCCGCUCCCCGUUUUAUUGACAUGAGCUCAAAUUUCUUAAAUGUGGAAGAUGGAUCUCCUGUUUCCUGCCUCUCCCGAAAUCGACUCCAGGGCUCCCCUCACAGAAGUCUCCUUAAAGGCCCUGGCCGUAACUGCCAUGGCUUGUUUAAGGAACUCUUACCUGUUCUUUCCCUACAUUUUUCAUGAUGUUUAGGGGGACAGAGGAGUCAGGUUUCUAUGCUUAGAAGAUAAACCAACUGGCAGUACAAGGGAGAAGUCGAUUUUUCUUCAAUUUGUGGGUUGUUCAGUCUUCAUCUGGAGACCUUGGUAGAAACAAGGAGGAAUAAAUCCCUUUUAUACCAUCCUCAACCUCAUCUCUGGAGCUAUCUGCUGUUAUCAGUGUGGUGUGUAACCUUCCAGGCCUCUUCUGUGCAUUUACUUCCAUAGGUAUCUUGAAAGAUGUGGCUUUUGUGUUUUUGUAAAUGAUAGAACGUUAUAGAAUUAGAUUGUUUGCAACCUGCUUUUUUCUUCUUUUUUGGUAACUGAGAACAAAUCGUGAGGAUUUUCCAUAGCUGUGUGUAAAGAUUCACCUCAUGGUUUACUGCUGUAGAACAUUCCACAGCAUGGGGGUUGGUUAGCCACAGUGAUGGACACAUAACGUUGUCAUUUCAGUCCCACUAAGAAAGAUUCUGUAUCUGUAUGACUGACUCUACUUUUGGGUAGCUAUGUAGGACGGUAGAUUCUUUCCAUCCAUUUCUUCGUUUUUUAAAUUUUUAUUUAUUUAUUUUAAAAGAUUUUAUUUACUUAGUUGAGAGCAAGAGAGAGCACAAGCAGAAUGAAGAGCAGAGGGAGCAGAGCCCGAUGUGGGACUCAAUACUGGGACUCCAGGAUCAUGACCUGAGCUGAAGGCAGACGCUUAACGAGCUGAGCCACCCAGGUGCCCUUCUUUCCUUCUGUUUUAAACAGAUUUUGCAUUUUUAAGAUUUAUUGGGCCUUUGUCGCAUAUAAGCACAGUACCAGGUAUGGGAUUCCACAGAUGGGAAUGACUGUGUCAUUGCUUUUGGAAAAGUCACAGUCUGUUGGGAAACAAAUAGGCUUAUGGUUUCAAUGCACUUACUAAAAACCUACUGAAUGGCUGCAAAUUGCGAAAGCAGAAAGAUGAGUGUGCCCUGCUCCUGAGCUCCCAUCCCCAGAAUAUCCUUGGUGACAGCACAGGUUUGCUGCAGUGAUGGUUUUUCACCUGGGAAUUUGCCCCUUGGGAGAUGUAGCAGGUGCAAGUCCUGAACAGAGGGGAGAAGUGUUUCAUAAGGACAUGUCGUAAAACAAUGGGAACGUUUAAAAGUAAAACACCUGAUUUAGAUUGACCAGAGCAGCUGAAUUCGCUAGUUCUUAUUUCAAAUAACUUGUUAAUAACAUUUGAGGACUACAUCCUUUCCCCCACACUGAGCAGGAACCCACAAGUUGCCACCUUGCAGAACAUACACCAAACUGACAGAAGACAGGAGCCCCCAAUUUCACUUUAGAUAUAAAGUUUAAAACCAGGCAAAACUAAGCUAUGGUGAUAGAAAUGGAGAUGGUUCUAAUUUUGUGGGGUGGUAGUGUUUAGAAGAGGGCCUAACAGGUUUCUUGGGGUCCUGGCAGUGCUGUUUGCAAUGCUUGUUGCAAUGGCUUUGUGAAAAUUUAAUGGGCUGCUUUAUGUACGCUUUUCCAUGUAUAUGUUGACUUCAAUAAAAAUUUUAAAAAUAGGGUGCCUGGGUGGCUCAGUGGGUUAAGCCUCUGCCUUCAGCUCAGGUCAUGAUCUCAGGGUCCUGGGAUUGAGCCCUGCAUCGGGUCUUUGCCCAGCAGGAAGCCUGCUUCCCCCUCUCUCUCUCUGUGCCUGUCUCUCUGCCUGCUUGUGAUCUGUCAAAUAAAUAAAAUCUUUAAAAAAAUUUUUUA